rnacentral:hammerhead_ribozyme from 15 species
CCGGUGUCUAAGGUUAGGCUUCCACUACGUUGCCUUACUGAUGAGUCUAGUAGUGGAGGCUGGGACGAAACGCCGA